rnacentral:rRNA from 1 species
UACGAGGGGAGCAAGCGUUGUUCGGAUUUACUGGGCGUAAAGGGUGCGUAGGCGGGUCUUUAAGUCAGGGGUGAAAUCCUGGAGCUCAACUCCAGAACUGCCUUUGAUACUGAGGAUCUUGAGUUCGGGAGAGGUGAGUGGAACUGCGAGUGUAGAGGUGAAAUUCGUAGAUAUUCGCAAGAACACCAGUGGCGAAGGCGGCUCACUGGCCCGAUACUGACGCUGAGGCACGAAAGCGUGGGGAGCAAACAGG